UGUUUUUUUUUUUUUUUCGACAAGUCAGCCGUCUCCCACCAAGGCAGGGUGACCCAAAAAGAAAGAAAAUCCCCAAAAAGAAAAUACUUUCAUCAUCAUUCAACACUUUCACCUUACUCAUAUAUAAUCACUGUUUUUGCAGAGGUGCUCGGAUACAUCAGUUUAGAAGUAUAUAUAAAGAUAUACAGUGGUACCUCAGGAUACGAACUUAUUUCGUUUCAGAAGGCUGUUCGAGUGCUGAUACCAAAUGAAUUUGUUCUCAUAAGGAAUAAUGUAAAAGAUUAAUCCAUUUUAGACCCCCAAAAAUACACUUACAAAAGCACUUGCAUAAUUGUUCCCGUUUUGAGCUAUUCGUAUCCCGAGGUACCACUGUAGAACAUAUCCCUCCAAACUGCCAAUAUCCCAAACCCCUCCUUUAAAGUGCAGGCAUUGUACUUCCCAUUUCCAGGACUCGAGUCUGGCUAAAUCUAUAAUGACCAGUUUCCCUGAAUCCCUUCACUAAAUGUUACCCUGCUCACACUCCAACAGCUAGUCAGGUCCCAAAAAGCAUUCGUCUCCAUUUACUCCUAUCUAACACGCUCGCACACACUUGCUGGAAGUUCAAGCCCCUUGCCCACAAAACCUCCUAUUUCCCCCUCCCUCCAACUUUUUCGAGGACGACCCCUACCCCCUCCUUCCUUCCCCUACAGAUUUAUGCGCUCUCCAAGUCAUUCUACUUUGACCCAUUCUCUCUAAAUGACCAAACCACCUCAACAACCCCUCUUCAGCCCUCUGACUAAUACUUUUAGUAACUCCACACCUUCUAAUUUUCACACUCCAAAUUCUCUGCAUAAUAUUUACACCACACCUUGCCCUUAGACAGGACAUCUCCACUGCCUCCAGCCGCUUCCUCGCUGCAGUAUUUACAACCGAAGCUUCACACCCAUAUAAGAGUGUUGGUACCACUAUACUUUCAUACAUUCCCUUCUUUGCCUUCAUAGAUAACGUUUUUUGUCUCCACAGACAUAGAUAACGUUUUUUUGUUUUCCACAGAUACCCCAACGCACCACUCACCUUUUUUUCUUUAUCAAUUCUAACCUCAUCCUUCAUAAACUCAUCCACUGACAAGUCAUCUCCCAAAUAUCUGAAAACAUUCACUUCUCCAUACUCCCUCUCCAAUGUGAUAUCCAAUUUUUCUUUAAAGCAUUUGAUACCCUCAUCACCUUACUCUUAUCUAUGUUCACUUUCAACUUUCUACCUUUACACGCCCAAACUCGUCCACUAACCUUGCAACUUUUCUUUAGAAUCUCCCAUAAGCACAGUAUCAUCAGCAAAAAGUAACUGUGUCAACUCCCAUUUUGUAUUUGAUUCCCCAUAAUUUAAUCCCACCCCUCUCCCCAACACCCUAGCAUUUACUUCUUUUACAACCCCAUCUAUAAAUAUAUUAAACAACCAUGGUGGCAUUACAGUAACAUCCCUGUGUAAGACCCACUUUUACCGGGAAGUAAUCCCCUCUCUUCUACACACCCUAACUUGAGCCUCACUACCCUCAUAAAAACUCUUCACAGCAUUCCAUAUACUUGCAACAUCUGCCACAUUGCUUCCCUAUCCACUCUAUCAUAUGCCUUUUCCAAAUCCAUAAUGCAAUGAAAACUUCCCUACCUCUAAAUACUGUUAACAUAUAUGCUUCAAUGUAAACACUUGAUCUACACAUUCCCUACCCACUCGAAAGCCUCCUUGCUCAUCUGCAAUCCUACUCUCUGUCUUACCUCUAAUUAUUUCGAUAAUAACCCUACUGUACACUUUUCCUGGUAUACUCGGUAAACUUAUUCCCCUAUAAUUUUUACAGUCUCUUUUGUCCCCCUUUCCUUUAUGUAAAGGAACUACACAUGCUCUCUGCCAAUCCCUAGGUACCUUCCCCUCUUUCAUACAUUUAUUAAACAAAAAUGCCAACCACUCCAAUACUAUAUACCCCUCUGCUUUUAACAUUUCAGUCAUAAUUACUUUCAGAAAAAAAUUCUCUGCCAUUGCAUAAUAUAUUUUUUAAGCACUACUGUAUGAGCCCUUUUAAUUUGGGGGCUAUGACAGUAAAAUGGUUAAGAUUAUAGUAUGUGCUUAAUGUUUUAAAAUAUAAUCUUCUAUGUAAAAUAAGUAUGUUUCUUAUAGGACAGUUUGUGAGUUUUUUCUAAACAAUAUUACUGAUUACACUGCAAUAGUUUUAUUGUUUGUCUCUAUGAAUUAAGGCAGACUAACUUUCAGGGAAAUUGGCAGUAGUGGUGGUGGCAGCAGUAGCAGUGGUAGUGGUUCUACUGGUGGUGGUAGUGUUGGCGGUAGCAGCGGUGGUGGUGGAGGUGGUGGUGGUGGCAUCUUUGGUAACGCCAGGCCUGUGGAUACAGCUGCUCGGGAACGCCAGAUUGAAGAAAAACUACGAAAAUUGGAUGGAGUAAAAGAUGAACCUCGUCGAUUUGAACGUCGUGACGAUAGAAGAGAGGAGGCGCGGGAAGACCGCCGAGACUUCCGGAGAGAGAACUACAAUAGUGACACUCAGAACGACCGGCAGGUUGAUCAAAGGGAUGGUAGAAUGGUAAG